rnacentral:lncRNA from 1 species
CAGGUAUUUUCUUAUUUUCAUUAUUCCCUUCUCAUUGAUACUUAGAUUAUUUGGAUUGGACCAUAUCUUUGCAAUGCUUUGGUGGCCUUGUUAGCUUCAUGCUUCCAUGUGUUCCUUACUUUGGCUAUUAAAAAAAGAAGAUGAUGUAUUAUGUAUAUAACUCAUCAUUAAUUAUCAGUGCGACAUAUAUGUUAGGUUCGGUGGAUAAUUGUUUGUGGCGGAAUACAAGAGGUAAUGUAGGAUGUGUACAGUUUCUAGAUAGCGAAUGUGUGGACUUUUUUUUUGUUUUCAGAUCUCUUUGCAAUAGAUUGAAUCUGCUCUUUCUUUUUCUUUCUUUUUUAACUUGUAGGAUUUACUAAUUUGUUCUUCUCUGCUUACCUUUAAUCUCCUUUCUCCAGGCACAUGUCCUCUCAAGGAUAUGUACCUUCCGAAGGAGUAUUAUACUGGGUGAGCAUGCUCAGUAGUUA